GUUCACUCCUUUCAGAGCCACUGACACGCAGCACAAUGAUGAUGUCACUGAUUCUACUGCUGGGGACACUGGGGCUCCUUGUUCAGGAAUCAUCAGCAGAUAUAAUUCUGACUCAGUCUCCUAAAUCUCAGUCUGUUAUGUCCAGGAGAGACUGUUUCAAUCAGCUGUACAGCCAGUUCAAGUACUAGUCAUAAUCUCCACUGGUACCUGCAGAAACCUGGAGAAGCUCCUAAACUCCUGGUUUAUUAUGCAACAACCCGUCAGUCUGGGAUUCCAGGUCGUUUCAGUGGGAGUGGAUCUGGUAGUUCUUAUACUCAUUACACUCUGACCAUCAGUGGAGUCCAGGCUGAAGAUGCAGCAGAUUACUACUGUCAGCAGGGUGCCAGCUUUCCAUUCACACAGUGUUAGAACACCAUACAAAAACCUCCUGCAGCUAAAGAGGAACUGCUCUGACUCAACAGCUGCAGAGCUACGGAGUCUCCCGUAUUCUAAAGUAUUCUAAACUCCAAUUCUUUGAAAUAUGACGCAUACUGUACAUUUCUCUCAAUAUAUUCUCCAAAAAAAUGUAAAUCAUUGUAAACACACUGGGACCACUAAGGAUACAGAGCUGUAGAAAAUGCUUUCUUUUUAAGGACAUGUUAAGCAAAAUUCAGAAUAGGUUUAUAUUUAUGCUUUGACUUCUCUUCAUAUUGUAAGAAGCACCCAUUUCAUUAUGCAAUAGCAUGAAUGUUGACCCUGUCCAAACCCAACCAUUUAUGCCCUACUCAACUUCUAUACCUCUCCAAUCUUGACAGAGGGAAUACAGUCAUUUCGUUUCAAUUCAAGAAGAACGAUUUUGAUUUCAUCGUGAUACAGUAUAUCUGUCACAAAUAAAUGUAGAUCACGUAUAAAUAUAAAGACCUGAGAGUGAAGUCCCCAA